UGUACUUUUAUUUAUAUAGGCAAGAUUUUGAAUGCAUGACUCAUAUUUACAUUCUAGUAUAGUGUAGGUGCUUUUACUAAAUUAAAGGAUCAGACUUCAUCUUCCACCACUGGUUAAUCUUCACAUAUACUUCAAGUGGCUGGUCUCUGGGGAAUGAGGGAUGUUUGGUGAGUGCCAGUGUACGUUAUAUCAGAAAAAAAAAGGAUCAUAACACACAAUGUAUUAAAAGAUUAAAAUCUUAUGCUGAUGGCAAGGAUCCAGACACACUGAGCCACCGACAGAUUCGACAGGCUUUCCUGAGGAUCUGGGCUCCUAAACAUUUUCCAUUUUAAAAUUCCAGACUUCAUUCCUCAGGUGGUGCAGACAUAUCGCUCAUCGACCUCUGUUUAUAACAGAACAUUACAGAUUAUGUAAUAUUACAUACAGUUUAUUCAGGGCUUUUUUUUGUGGUGUUGCCUUUUCAUGUUCAUAAUGAGCUUUCAGAAUCUGAUUGUUUCUGUACCAGAGCCCACCUACAGUUCACUUUAUCUCCCUUUUUGUUUGACAGGAGAUGGGAUUCAGGGACAUGCCUUUCUCUGGAAACUAACAGUCCAGACUGCAGGAAUGUGGUUUCAUGUGGUUCAGCAGAGCAACACUGCCCCCAUGAGAGCAAAAUGAGAAUUGACUGGGAAAGACUGGGGCGCCACCUGCUGAGCAGAGCUGGAACAAGAUUUCAAGGUACAGUCAGGCCCAUUUAGCUGUAAUACCGUAAUAUCACACUUUUACCAUAGACAAAAUGGUCUUUUAUGUCUCCUCUUUUCAAAGAGAGGAUACAGCAGAGCUCCAGACACAGAGGAGCAUCCACGUUUAAGCCACCCAGUCGCCACAAUCACUCUUUUGUAAAGCCAAAGAGUGCAGUGCGGUUGCAAUAAGCUGCCCCUGUCUCAGCAUGAUGUAACCUUCUCAGGAUGGCAGAAUGUUCACUUGAAAAUGUCAAACUACUCUACUUUGCACUUGGAGUUAUGUCAAGUUUUAAAAACCACAGUGGAAAGAUUGCAGUGUUGGCAGCAGAGGACGGGACUCUAUAUCAGGACUCUAUGUCAGGGCUCCAUAACACAGAGAUUUUGGUCAGGAGGGUGUAAAAACGUUGUGCAACACAUAUCACCAGAAAUUGCCGGUUUCUGCGACACUGGUAACCAUUAAGCCUUUUCCACAUGGGAUCAUAAUUGGCAAAGUGGUCACAAAAAUGAUUUUUCUUUCUGUGACAUGAUUCAAUAUUCUCUUAAGUGCUGAACGGUUUGGUUAAAGAAGCCGGGAGGGAGGUUAAAAAAAAAAAAAGAAAAAAAAAAGGAAAAUAGCAACAGGCGAAAAACAAGUUGACAUAAGAGCAUGGAAUCUACUACUACCAACCCUAAAAUUAGGCUGAGGGCUGCCCCAGGACUAUUUGCGCUUUGCAAGUUGUGAUAAAUAGUUAAAUGUGAAGGACAGACGAGGCUCCUGAGAAAUCCCUUGAACAUGUCCUCGUCCGCAGAAACCGCUGUCCCCAUCACACAACUCUGUUUUUAUUGGGGGAUGUAGAGCUGUUCCAAAACAUUACAUCAGUUUUACUGUAACAGGGAACAUGGCUACCACGGAGGGAGAAGGGUCCAAGCUGUGUGAGAGGCAGGCAGGCAGGCACGCACACGCACGCACACACACACACACACACACACACACACACACACACACACACACAGGACAGUAGUCCAUUGUGCCGUCCUCCUAAUUACAUAACCAGGAAAAGUAGAGGGAAGCAUAAAAACACAGUCCAAUGGGAAGAAUCCUGCAGUAAAUUAAAUAUCACAGGAAAAUAACACCUCGUAUAAACAUACAGUAGAAGUGGAAGCGUAUACUGAAAUACAUCUUUGGUGACGUGUCAGAGAAAACACUCAGUCGUAAAGCUCGUCUCGCUGCACAAUCGCACCAUUGAAGUUAGUGUUAGUGAAGUAACUUUUAGGCUCCGAGUUUUUUCUUGUUCCGACCUUAAAUCCCUGCUAGACGCGGAGAAGGCACAGCGCUCUGUGUACUCAAUACUGACACUGUUGAAGUUUGUCGUGUCACACAUUCCCGUUGAUAGGAGAACAAGUGUUGUUUUGAACAAGCUCGGGCUGAGCUAUUGUUAUGGCUUCUGCGCACAUAUUCACACGGUGUUCAUAUUAUUAUUAUCAUUGUCUGUGUUUUCUCUCUACUAUCUCUUUACACACUUAUUAACAUUAAAGUAGUUAGACAGUCAACAUCUUUCCUUUUUUGGAAUAAUAGGUCAUUGGACUAAAAGAAAUGCAGUGAUUUCAGACAUAAUUCUUUUAAUUAAAAAGACACCAAGGAACAGUAAUCAUAAAAAUUAAAAACACAUCUGGUAAUCAAUGAGGGCAACAUUUGAAAGACAAAAUAAGAGACAAGUACAGAGUUAAAAAAAAAAACAACCCAAUGUUUCCGUCAUUCCCUUGAUGUGAUAAUAAAAAGACUUGACCACAAAUCCAGUCUGUGGUCUCAUGCGUUGGUUCAUUGAAGCAUUUAUCUGAUGACUUUUCCUUUAUUUCAAUAUUACGAACCCUGACUUUAACAAUUGGUUUCCUAAUAAAAAAAAA